rnacentral:rRNA from 1 species
CCUACGGGUGACUACAGUCGAGAAUCAUUCACAAUGGGGGAAACCCUGAUGGUGCGACGCCGCGUGGGGGAAUGAAGGUCUUCGGAUUGUAAACCCCUGUCAUGUGGGAGCAAAUUAAAAAGAUAGUACCACAAGAGGAAGAGACGGCUAACUCUGUGCCAGCAGCCGCGGGAAUACAGAGGUCUCAAGCGUUGUUCGGAAUCACUGGGCGUAAAGCGUGCGUAGGCUGUUUCGUAAGUCGUGUGUGAAAGGCGCGGGCUCAACCCGCGGACGGCACAUGAUCCUGCGAGACUAGAGUAAUGGAGGGGAAACCGGAAUGCUCGGUGUAGCAGUGAAAUGCGUAGAUAUCGAGAGGAACACUCGUGGCGAAGGCGGGUUCCUGGACAUUAACUGACGCGGAGGCACGAAGGCCAGGGGAGCGAAAGGGAUUAGAUACCCCAGUAGUC